AGCCAGAGGCCAAGAUGUAUGUGGCAUGUAUGAAAAAUACCAGAGACUUUAUUAUGACUGAGAGAAUGUGUGAGAAGGACAGUACUGAAGCUGCAGUGAUAGGCUAGAGACAAAUCUUGCAAAGAUAUUAAUGACAAUUUAAAACAUGGAUCCAUGUUAGAUUUAAAAUACAUAAUGAUAGGUUUACAAAAGUAACUGGGAUAUAGGAGUGUCAUUUCAUUUAUAACUGAUUGACACAUCUCACCAAAGCAUUGGUUAAAAAAGGGACACUGGAAAUUGUAAGUGCAUAAACCACGUUUUUAAAAAGUAAUGAUGUUGACACCACAGUAAACCACUUUAAAUCAUUAUAUUAUUUAUACAGUAUUUUUAAUUUGAUGAAAGACUUCUCUAGGUGGGAUUCUAUAGCUGAGGAUUAUUGCUACACCCUUGAUUCCCUUUUGAUGGGAAAAAGGAAUUAUCAACACCCUUCUUUUCUGUCAGCCCAGUUGUCUGAAGCUCCCUAUUCUGUACCCCGUUUAUGUUCAUUGUUCUUGAGAGAUUUCUUGUUCAUUUCUUGUUCACUUUCUCAUUGAACUGUCCAUUUAAUGUUUUUACAUUCAGUGCCCUUGAGAUUGGUUUAAAUAACAUUUUCAUUUAUCUAAAUUAAGAUUUGAGAGAACUAAAAUGCCUUAGUAUGUGGCAUUAAUUCAGGUAAACUGACAUUGCCACUUACGCUUUGGAUAAAUUUCAUCUUGUAAUUCUGGCUAUUUUAGGGAACAUUUGUUUCUAGUAUCCAUGGUGAAAAUUCAGAAAUCUGCUUCCUGGUGAAGUCUGGUCUUUGGUUAUGGCUAAAUUGAAAGAUCAGUACAGAUUAGUCCAAUUUGACUGAGAAAGCAUAUUAUAUUAGUAUACAGUUCAUAUAAUUGUUUUUCUGUAACCACAAUGUCUCACUUAUUAUUGAUGCUUAUUAUAUUGAUAAAAAUGUGAAAUAUUGACAUCGAUCUUCCUCUCUGAUUACUAAAUCUUGUCAAUUAUAAUCAAUGCUUAACUAAAAUCUCUUCUGGCCUGAGAAAUUAAAUUCCAUCAAAAUAUUUUAGAAUCAGAAUCUCCCUAAAACAUACAUUCUAUUAAUUUCAUGACUUUGAUACACUGAAGCUUCAAUGAAACUUGAACGCAAGCAAGUAAUCUUCGUGAUUUUUUUUUCUCUGAGUCAACUUGGCUAAGUGGGAAGUUCAUUCUCUCAGAUUCUUUUUCUGGAUGCUUCUAACUCAGGGUUGACGAAAAUAAGUAUUUGCCUGAGGCGUAGGAGGAAGAAGUGAAGCGAGAGUUCCUCCUUCUUGAAGGUCGUAACAGUCAAAACAUUGAAAGAUGAACCUAGAGGUACUGGUGGGUUCGGCAUGUCCUCACCGCUCAUUUAUGUCUAGUUCUUUCUGACUUCUGGCGCUACUAACCAACUGCAACGCUGGGCUGACCAUGAGACGCAGAGCUGACAGCUUUCCAUAGAGUUUCCUGACAGCUCCACAUUGUGGUCACACACCAACAGAUAGACAUGCCUGGCUUCCCAGAUUCCCCUUGCCAGGGCUUCAGACUGGCAGCUUAGCAACCUGGCUCGAAUCUUCCAGCUCCUCCAUUCUAAACCUUAAUCUUCGUCUCUUCUCACAGUUGAGUAACAGCCAACUCUGAUAGUAAAGUCCUCAUUCCAUAAUACUCGUAGUGGUUCUUCUUUCCUGACUGAGCUUUGACUGCCACAGUCCUUGCAGACAGAGUCUUGUUCUGUUACCCAGGCUGAAGUGCAGUGGUAUGAUCUCAGCUCACUGCAACCUUGAACUCCUGAACAGCAAUCCUCUUUCCUCAGCCUCACAAGUAACUAGGACUACAGGUGUGCAUCAUCACACCCAGCUGAUUUUUAAAUCGUUUGUAGAGACAGGGUCUUGCUACGUUGUCCAGCCUAGUCUGGCCUCCAGCAAUUCUCCUGCCUUUGACUCCCAAAGUGCUGGGACUAUAAGCAUACACCACCACACCCAGUCAAGGUAAUAAGUAUUUAAUAAAUGUAUGAAUGCGUGAUAGAAUGAGUAAGUAAAUGAAUGAGUUGACUGUGACUUCCUGGCUAAGUAGUUGGCAGAUUCAAAGCUGGAAGAUGGGUUUCCUGAUCCCAGGACCCUUUAUUUCCACUGUCCCCAAAUUGUUGUAAUUCACAAAAUUCUCUUCUUUUACCUCUGUGGGACCUAGGCCUUAAUUUUUGAGGUGUUUGCCUACAGUUAGAGGUGAGAUCUCUGGCUAAGAAUCAUGCUACAACACAAAACUUACCAUUCACUUUAGCCGGCAAGCACAGCUUUUUGAUCUCAUAUGUUUACCAUCUGAUCUUUGUAGUACACACAGACUCUUCACAUAUGUAUUUUCAUUUUGUAAUAUGGCAAUAUGCAUUUAUCUGCUUCUUAUUCAUACAUUUGACAAGAUAGAUACUUCCAUUUUAAAUUUAUUUUGGCAAAGUGUAAUAUUAUUCCAGCAUUUUAUAAAUGAUAAAGAACAAGGUUAAAGAAGGAUUGGAUUCAUCAUGUAAAGGUUAAAUAAUUCUAAUUUUAAGGAAUGAAUAUCAAUUGCUCUUUUAAGAUGUGUUUGAAGAAUUCUUGUCAUUGAGGGAAGCAUUUUUCAAGUCUGUUGAAAUCCGUUCAAGUGUAAGGAGAGGGCUGAAGAAUGCAUGGUAAACAGAUGACUUUUGCAUAUUAAGGUAUUUUGAAUUGUACUCUUCUUGCCAUAGGAAUAAUGGGUAUCUUUAAAAUCGGGUAUUCUUGCAAAAUUGUAGCAUAGCUUUGUGGUAGCUUUAAACACUCAGAAAAAGGAUUCUUGAAAAACGAAUGAAAUUCUGGCAAAAACAAACAAACAACAAAAAAACAAAACCACCUAAAUACUAAGUAGUUUAGAUUAUUUGAAUGAAAUAUUUUCCCAUGCUGUCAAAUUUACAUCCAAUUUUCUAUGUUUUAUUCAAAGAGAGUUCUGUCAUACAAAGAUUAGAGGUUCACCAAAAACGGCUACUACAUCUUAUUGUUUUCUAAACCUGACUUCUUCAUAUAUAGAUAGCAGGCGUAAAACUGUACGCAGAAUGGCUGCAGUGUGGAGAAGAUGAGGAUCUCCAGGAAGAAAAAAAGAGGUUGCUCUCACUAGAACAUGCCUUUUAAUUGCCAAGGAAUUAAUAAUGCACCUUUUUUAAGCUUCAGUUGCGCUCAACUCAAAAAUCUACUCUACAGGAUAAUUGGCCUUUCCUUGCCUAUCUCUUUGCUUCUUGCAAGGAGUAAUAAAAUUAAACAUACUCUCAAUGAGUAGGAAGUUUCUAAGAUGCUUAGCCUUGAUAUGUAAUUUUCAAAUAUGUGCUUUUUUAGAGAUUUUUCUAUUUUUAGCUUAAUCUCUUUCUGCUGCUGCUUCCAUUGAGUCUUUUCAUCAGACAACUCCCUUCUUCCCUUUCGGAAUAUAAGUUCCUUUAAGGUUAGAGGUAAUAUUCUGUUCACUUCAUCCUCUUAUUUCCAAACAUGAUUCCUGGCAUACAAAGGGUGCUUAGUGAAUUUUCUGAAUGAGCCACAGUAUGCAAAUUAUAAUGAAAUUCAUACCCCUAAUGUUGUACACACCUAAAUUUGAUUUACAGCAUAAUUUACUGUGGUAGUCUGUGUACAGACAGGUUUUGCUGUUCAUUAAAAUAAGAUCACAACCUCCUUCCUAUACUCUCAAUAUAAUAAUUUUAAAACUGUACUAAAUGUUAGAGUACUUAAGAUUAUUGAUGUAUUCAGAGACAGAGUAGUACAUGAUUCAGUACCAACAGGGCAUCAUCACAAAUUUAGAAUUGUGCUCACAUUUAUGGAAAGAUGGUUUGCAUUCAACUGAGAAUAAGUAUUAAUUUAUUUGAUAAAUAUUUAUGGAGCACCUGCUAUUAGUAAUUUUUCUAAGCAUGUGGGAUACAAAACUUUCUCUAUGAAGUUUAUCAUUCAGGGAAGAGAAACAAACAGUAAAUAAUUAAAAUGACAAAUAGGUCAACUGUGAAGUAUGCUAUAAAGUGCUACGUGGGAAAUACAGAGAUGGGGCAGUAGGAUGUGGUAUGUGAGUUGAGGAAUAUUUUGUAGGCAGUUUGUAGUUUUAAAUAAGGGGAGUUAGUGUAGGUAUCAUUGGUAGGACGAUAUAUGAGCUAAGACUUGAAGGAGAGGUGAGAUCUAGCUAAGAGGACAUCUAGAGGAAGAGUCUUCCUUGCAGAAAAAAAACAGUAUGUCUGGAAAAAAAUAUAGAACUGCAAGAAGCCAAUUAUGGCUGAUGAUGGGUCAGAUGGAAAGGGAAGAAUGUUAGUAGAAAAAUACAUCAGAUUGGAAGCACAGUAUCCAAUGAAUAUUGAAGGAAUUUGUAAAAGUUUAGUUCUAUUAUAAGUAAAGUGGCUCAGCACUACAGGAUUUUAAACAGAGGAGUGACAAAGCGGACAUAUUUUCAAAGGAUCAUUCUGGUUGAUAUGUUAAAGAGAGGGCAGAGCUAGGAACAUGGACACCUACUAAAAUCUGUUUUACAUUAAAGUGGGAAAUGAUGAUGACUUUAGCCAGCAUGGUAGUAAUUGAGAUGGAAAGUAGUUGGAUUCUGGAUGAAUUUGAACGUAAAUUCAACAGACUUUGCUGAUGUAUUAGAAAUAGCUGUAUAAUAGAGCGAGAGAGAGAAGUCAGGGAUAAAUAUUUUCCACCUGAAAAUUAUCAAGCAUUGUCUGUGGGUCAUAGUAGCUAUUGAUAAAAUGUAGCUUGAAUAACAUAAGUAAUACAUAACUGUGAUUUAAUGUAUGUUUUAUUUGGAAAGGCAUAGAUGCUGAUAUUCCAAACUCAAGAGAAGCAGACUUAAUUAGCCAUAAUAUGAAGUAAAGAGCUGAGCCAAAAGUAGGUCCUAGAUAAAUACAGGCACACCUUAUUUUAUUGUGCUUCACUCUUCUGCACCUCACAGAUACUGCAUUUUUACAAAUUGAAGGUUUGUAGCAAUCUUGCUUUGGGCAAGCCUAUGGGCACUAUUUUUCCACCAACGUAUGGUCACUUCAUGUCUCUGGGUCAGGUUUCAAUAAUUCUCCCAAAUUUUCAAACUUUCUCAUUAUUAUUUUAUCUGUUAUGGUUAUCGGUGACCAAUGAUCUUUGAUGUUACUGUUGUAAUUGUUUUGGGGAGCCACAAAUCACACCCAUACACUACUGUAAACAAAGUAGCCAAAAAUAAGUGGCUACCUCCUUUUUUUUCUAUUCUUUUAUACAUACGUAUUUGCCCUUUCUCCCUUGUCACUUGACACUCUUCUUUUCCGUGACUAACUAUAUACUUGCUUAAGAUUUCCAGGAACUAAUAUUGAAACCAUUCAGCUAUGAAGGCGAGAUUUCAGGAUACUUUUUUUCCAGAGAAGGGAUCAGCAAGCAGUUAAUCCACAACCCAGUCAUGGUGAAGCUGACACCAGCCAGGCUUCUAGAUGGUCCUUUACUCAUGAUAGCCAUUGGAAUAAGACGUGUAGACCUGUGCCUUGCACCACUCCUGCAUUUUAGUUUCCAUGGUUCCUUUCUCCUUGAAAUCCCUUUGGUCAGCCUGAAAAUUUUGAGAUGUUUUUGUGACACCAUCUCCUCAGGUUGUGUCCACCAUCUCCUCAGGCUGUCAGCUUUUGAAUAAACCUGUAUUUUCUUCCACCAACUCUUGUACAUGUCUCUCACUUUAAAUCGAAAGCCACACAUAACUAAGCUUAGUGAGGAAGGCAUGUCAAAAGCUGAGAGAGGCCAAAAGCUAGGCAUUUUCUGCCAAACAGUUAGCUAAGUUGUGAAUGUAAAGAAAAAGUUUUUGAAGGAAAUUAAAAGUGCUAGUCCAGUGAACACACAAAUAAUAAGAAAGCGAAACUAUGGUUGGUAUGGAGAAGGUUAUAGUAGCUUUGAUAAAUGAUGAAAACAGUUAUAACAUGUACUUAAGCUAAAGUCUAAUCCAGAGCAAGGCAGGCCUUAACUCUCUUCAAUUCCAUGAAGGCUGAGAGGGUUGAGGAAGCU